GCCGGUGUAGCUCAGUCGGUAGAGCACCUGAUUUGUAAUCAGUAGGUCGCGGGUUCGAAUCCCGCCGCCGGCC
rnacentral:tRNA from 1 species